UUUAAGCGUGUAGGCUGGUUUUCCAGGCAAAUCCGGAAAACUAAGGCUGAGGCGUGAUGACGAGGCACUACGGUGCUGAAGCAACAAAUGCCCUGCUUCCAGGAAAAGCCUCUAAGCAUCAGGUAACCAUCAAAUCGUACCCCAAACCGACACAGGUGGUCAGGUAGAGAAUACCAAGGCGCUUGAGAGAACUCGGGUGAAGGAACUAGGCAAAAUGGUGCCGUAACUUCGGGAGAAGGCACGCUGAUAUGUAG
rnacentral:rRNA from 1 species